GACGGAGGGGGCUAGCGUUAUUCGGAAUUACUGGGCGUAAAGGGCGCGUAGGCGGAUUAGUAAGUUGGGAGUGAAAGCCCGGGGCUCAACCUCGGAACUGCUUUCAAAACUGCUAGUCUUGAGUGAAGUAGGGGGUGAUGGAAUUCCUAGUGUAGAGGUGAAAUUCUUAGAUAUUAGGAGGAACACCGGUGGCGAAGGCG
rnacentral:rRNA from 1 species